rnacentral:rRNA from 1 species
GAUGAACGCUGGCGGCGUGCCUAAUACAUGCAAGUCGAGCGAACAGACGAGGAGCUUGCUCCUCUGACGUUAGCGGCGGACGGGUGAGUAACACGUGGAUAACCUACCUAUAAGACUGGGAUAACUUCGGGAAACCGGAGCUAAUACCGGAUAAUAUAUUGAACCGCAUGGUUCAAUAGUGAAAGACGGUUUUGCUGUCACUUAUAGAUGGAUCCGCGCCGCAUUAGCUAGUCGGUAAGGUAACGGCUUACCAAGGCAACGAUGCGUAGCCGACCUGAGAGGGUGAUCGGCCACACUGGAACUGAGACACGGUCCAGACUCCUACGGGAGGUAGCAGUAGGGAAUCUUCCGCAAUGGGCGAAAGCCUGACGGAGCAACGCCGCGUGAGUGAUGAAGGUCUUCGGAUCGUAAAACUCUGUUAUUAGGGAAGAACAAAUGUGUAAGUAACUAUGCACGUCUUGACGGUACCUAAUCAGAAAGCCACGGCUAACUACGUG